rnacentral:sRNA from 1 species
GGGGUGGUUUGAUUUGGCGGAGCUGGGUGUCGGGGCAAAGAAAAAGAAAAAAAAAAGGGUUGUGGUGAGAUGAUGACUGGGAAGGAUUGAGAUGGAAUGUCGAGUUCAACAUCAACUACAAGACACGCUGUUGCAGCAACGUCGCUGCCCCGGGUCUCUACCAGAUCUCCAUGCGAGCGAAUAUACGAGCAAUGAUCGAUCAUUACCACACCUACACUGAUGGAUAAUAUCUCCACCGCCAGCACUCUAAACUUGUCGUUGGGGGGUUUUCAUGUGGUCGCGUGUCGCCAUAUGUUUUGCAUCUGAUCGAAGCCAAUCCUGGCCCAGCCACGGCAGCACCGUCGCGCUGUAAAUGAGGGAGAGUUACCGGCAUUGAUACUAUCCUAUGCAGCCAGUUGGCAGGUUAUCUUGACCACAGAGCAACAUAUUUUUAUUACUCGAUCUCGGACAGACCCCCAUCCAGCAUAUUUUCUUCUGUGUAUCUCAAUCGAAAUAAGUCUCUAUGGCCCAGCAGAAUUCCCGAGGCCCAUCCUGCGUAGCCUGACAUAUACAGGGUUUCCCGGCCAAUCUAAAAAAAUGGUCUCCCAACUUCCUCUAAGUUAAAAAGGCUAGCUAAAGGGUGACCGAGGAGAUCUAUCAUUUCCGCAAGGUGCGCUGGAAUUCUGGAUCUUGGUCUGUAAAUAAAAUCCUAAAUCUAUAACCUAUACGGUGGUAGGCGUCCCCAAGGUCCAGGUUAGUGAACAUUUUGGCUCCAGAAAAAGAUGCUCAAACUAUGACAAUUGUGUGGUUUGAUGAAACAAUGCAAUGCAGCCUACAGAAUUAAAUUUAUGGACGC